rnacentral:lncRNA from 1 species
GGGUCAGGGUUCAUAGAAUGUUGCUUUACAUACAUUCGACCUAUCUGGACGUCGGGAACCAUUGCUAGAUGGUUACUUCGAUUGGUACAAAAAUUGAUUUCUAUACUAUUGAGUUAGAUUUAAACCUAUAGGAUUACACACAUAAGGGGUUAUAACCUAAUCAGAUGGUUAAUCAAUGAUUGAAAAUUAUUCUAAGGUUAAACGAUUAAUGUGAUUGAGGUUUGACC